AUACCUUUCUCGGCCUUUUGGCUAAGAUCAAGUGUAGUAUCUGUUCUUAUCAGUUUAAUAUCUGAUAUGUGGGCCAAUGGUCCACACGAUAUUAAAUUAAUUUUUUAAGGGGUAAGGCCCAUUCGGUAGCUUGCUACUAGGGUCCUUACGCGUCGCCUAUGUGUUGCACUACAGCAUGGGCCUGGCGCACCCCUC